rnacentral:piRNA from 1 species
UAGCCUCACCAUGAUUUCCCAAUAUAAAGA